UUGCCGUGGUUAAUCAACGGCUCGUCUGAAAUGCUUCAGUGUACCCCGCUUUGCGGCGUAUUCGGUGUGAUAAAUCUUCACCGGAGUUGAUCCUUUCGGGUCGCGUCUGUAAUGGUGUGGCUCUAUGCUUCGAACCGUCUCCAAGAGACAACCUCUGACAAUUUGACCUCAAAUCGGGUGGGACUACCCGCUGAACUUAA
rnacentral:misc_RNA from 1 species